CCUACGGGUGGCAGCAGUGGGGAAUAUUGCGCAAUGGGCGAAAGCCUGACGCAGCGACGCCGCGUGAGGGAUGAAGGUCUUCGGAUCGUAAACCUCUGUCAGCAGGGAAGAACGGUCACUGUGCUAAUCAGCAGUGCAUUGACGGUACCUGCAAAGGAAGCACCGGCUAACUCCGUGCCAGCAGCCGCGGUAAUACGGAGGGUGCGAGCGUUAAUCGGAAUUACUGGGCGUAAGGCGAUCGUAGGCGGUAUGUCAAGUCACGGGUGAAAUCCCCUGGCUCAACGUGGGAACUGCCUUUGAAACUGGCAAACUGGAGUGUGUGAGAGGAUAGUGGAAUUCCAGGUGUAGGAGUGAAAUCCGUAGAUAUCUGGAGGAACAUCAGUGGCGAAGGCGACUAUCUGGCACAUAACUGACGCUGAGGAGCGAAAGCGUGGGUAGCAAACAGGAUUAGAUACCCGAGUAGUC
rnacentral:rRNA from 1 species